UACCAGCACCCCGAGUGGUCGGGACGUUUAUUGGGCCGUAAAGCAUCCGUAGCCGGUUCUACAAGUCUUCCGUUAAAUCCACCUGCUUAACAGAUGGGCUGCGGAAGAUACUAUAGAGCUAGGAGGCGGGAGAGGCAAGCGGUACUCGAUGGGUAGGGGUAAAAUCCGUUGAUCCAUUGAAGACCACCAGUGGCGAAGGCGGCUUGCCAGAACGCGCUCGACGGUGAGGGAUGAAAGCUGGGGGAGCAAACCGGG
rnacentral:rRNA from 1 species